UACGUAGGGUGCAAGCGUUAAUCGGAAUUACUGGGCGUAAAGCGUGCGCAGGCGGCUAUGCAAGACAGAUGUGAAAUCCCCGGGCUCAACCUGGGAACUGCAUUUGUGACUGCAUCGCUGGAGUGCGGCAGAGGGGGACGGAAUUCCGCGUGUAGCAGUGAAAUGCUUAGAUAUGACAUAGAACACCUAUUGCGAAGGCAGCUUACUACGCAGAUAUUGACGCUCAUGCACGAAAGCGUGGGGAUCAAACAGG
rnacentral:rRNA from 1 species